GCGGCAGACGGGAGAGUAACACGUGGGAACGUACCCUCAGUUCGGAACAACCAAGGGAAACUUUGGCUAAUACCGAAUACGUCCGUAAGGAGAAAGAUUUAUCGCUGAAGGAUCGGCCCGCGUCUGAUUAGCUAGUUGGUGAGGUAACGGCUCACCAAGGCGACGAUCAGUAGCUGGUCUGAGAGGAUGAUCAGCCUCACUGGGACUGAGACACGGCCCAGACUCCUACGGGAGGCAGCAGUGGGGAAUAUUGGACAAUGGCCGCAAGCCUGAUCCAGCCAUGCCGCGUGGAUGAUGAAGGCCCUAGGGUUGUAAAGUCCUUUCAGUGGGGACGAUAAUGACGGUACCCACAGAAGAAGCCCCGGCUAACUUCGUGCCAGCAGCCGCGGUAAUACGAAGGGGGCUAGCGUUGUUCGGAUUUACUGGGCGUAAAGCGCACGUAGGCGGAUCGUUAAGUCGGGGGUGAAAUCUGGAGCUCAACUCCAGAACUGCUUCGAUACUGCGAUCUUGAGUCCGGAAGAGGUGAGUGGGACUCCUAGUGUA
rnacentral:rRNA from 1 species